rnacentral:siRNA from 1 species
UACAGGAUUUGCCUUGAGUAUGAG